rnacentral:rRNA from 1 species
GACGAACGCUGGCGGCGUGCCUAACACAUGCAAGUCGAGCGGAGCCGAUCGACGGAAGCCUUCGGGCGGAAGAUGGUUGACUUAGCGGCGGAUGGGUGAGUAACGCGUGGGCAACCUGCCUCGAAGACCGGGAUAACAGCCCGAAAGGGCUGCUAAUACCGGAUGUGGUCAAGGAUCCGCAUGGAUUUUUGAUUAAAGGGGAAACCCGUUUCGAGAUGGGCCCGCGUCCUAUCAGCUAGUUGGUGAGGUAAAAGCUCACCAAGGCGACGACGGGUAGCCGGCCUGAGAGGGUGACCGGCCACACUGGAACUGAGACACGGUCCAGACUCCUACGGGGGCAGCAGUGGGGAUCUUGCACAAUGGGCGAAAGCCUGAUGCAGCGACGCCGCGUGAGCGAAGAAGGCCUUCGGUUGUAAAGACUCUGUCUGGAGGGACGAAGGAAGUGACGGUACCUCCGGAGGAAGCCACGGCUAACUACGUGCCAGCAGCCGCGGUAAGAUCACGUGUA